rnacentral:rRNA from 1 species
GACGAACGCUGGCGGCGUGCCUAAUACAUGCAAGUCGAACGCACUCUCGUUUAGAUUGAAGGAGCUUGCUCCUGAUUGAUAAACAUUUGAGUGAGUGGCGGACGGGUGAGUAACACGUGGGUAACCUGCCCUAAAGUGGGGGGUAACAUUUGGAAACAGAUGCUAAUACCGCAUAAAACCUAACACCGCAUGGUGUAGGGUUGAAAGAUGGUUUCGGCUAUCACUUUAGGAUGGACCCGCGGUGCAUUAGUUAGUUGGUGAGGUAAAGGCUCACCAAGACCGUGAUGCAUAGCCGACCUGAGAGGGUAAUCGGCCACACUGGGACUGAGACACGGCCCAGACUCCUACGGGAGGCAGCAGUAGGGAAUCUUCCACAAUGGACGAAAGUCUGAUGGAGCAACGCCGCGUGAGUGAAGAAGGUUUUCGGAUCGUAAAACUCUGUUGCUGGAGAAGAAUGUAUCUGAUAGUAACUGAUCAGGUAGUGACGGUAUCCAACCAGAAAGCCACGG